rnacentral:lncRNA from 1 species
UAUUCACAUGUCACAUAAAACAAAAUUGGCCUUCAUCUAAAGCAAUUAACAUUCCCACAUGCAAAUGUCAUCACAAGGACUUUUCCAUGGCUUGUAAUGAAGCUGGGUUAACAAGAAAAAUUGGUUUUUCUAGAUCACAAAAUCCUUGCGUCAAGAGAGUUAUUUUAUCAUACAAAGUUCAAGUACAAACUCUCUUUUUCACCAAUCUCACUCAUUCCCAACUUCUUCCCUUUUCUUUUGAGCUCAUCUUUCAUGCUUUUUCUUUUCUCAUGCAUUUUUCUUUUUCAACACUUUAGCUCAAUAAUUUUCUUUUGCCUUUUCCCCCAAACAACCCCAAACUUGAACCUUUUCAACACAUAGAAUUAUUCUCAACCCAAC